UACGUAGGUGACCAGCGUUGUCCGGAUUUACUGGGCGUAAAGAGCGCGCAGGCGGUCGUUCAAGUCGAGUGUGAAAGCCCCCCGGCUCAACUGGGGAGGGUCACUCGAUACUGAUCGACUUGAAGGCAGGAGAGGGAAGUGGAAUUCCCGGUGUAGUGGUGAAAUGCGUAGAUAUCGGGAGGAACACCAGUGGCGAAGGCGACUACCUGGCCUGUUCUUGACGCUGAGGCGCGAAAGCUAGGGGAGCAAACGGG
rnacentral:rRNA from 1 species